rnacentral:lncRNA from 1 species
CCUCUUCAGCAUUUGUUGUUUCUUGACUUUUUAGUAAUUGCCAUUCUGACUGGCAUGAUAUGGUAUCUCAUUGUAGUUUUGAUUAGCAUUUCUCUAAUGAUCAGUGAUGUUGGCUCUCUGCUUCUCUGUUACCUCUGGUAGAAUUCAGCUGUAAAUCCAUCUGGUCCUGGGCUUUUUUUGGUUGGUAGUCUAUUAAUUACUGCCUCAAUUUCAGAACUUGUUAUUCGUCUAUUCAGGGAUUCAGCUUCUUCCUGGUUCAGUCUUGGGAGAGUGUAUGUGUCCAGGAAUUUAUGCAUUUCGUCUAGAUUUUCUAGUGUUUUUUGCAUAGAGGUGUUUAUAGUAUUCUCUGAUGGUUGUUUAUAUUUCUGUGGGGUCAGUGGUGAUAUUCCCUUUAACAUUUUUUAUUGUGUCUAUUUGAUACUUCUCUCUUUUCUUAUUAGUCUAGCUAUCAGUCUAUUUUAUUAUUAUUAUUAUUUUUUUUUUUUUUUUUUUGCAAAACCAGCUCCUGAACUUGUUGACUUUUGAAAAGUUUUUANNNNNNNNNNUUUUUUUUUUUUUUGCAAAACCAGCUCCUGAACUUGUUGACUUUUGAAAAGUUUUUAUGUCUCUAUCUUCUUAAAUUCUACUCUAAACUUGGUUAUUUCUUGUCUUCUGCUAGCUUUGGGGUUUCUUUGCUCUUUGUUCUCUAGUUUUUUUAGUUGUGAUGUUAAGAUGUUGAUUUGAGAUCUUUCUAUCUUUUUGAUGUCAGCAUUUAGUGCUAUAAAUUCCCCCCCAUAACACUGCUUUAGCUGUGUCCCAGAGGUUCUGGUACAUUGUGUCUUUUUUCUCAUUAGUUUCAAAGAACUUCUUGAUUUCUGCCUUAAUUUCAUUAUUUACCCAGGAGUCAUUCAGGAGCAGAUUGUUCAAUUUCCAUGUAGUUGUGUGGUUUUGAGUGAAUUUCUUAAUCUUGAGUUCUAAUUUGAUUGUGCUAUGGUCUGAGAGACUGUUUAUUAUUAUUUCAGUUCUUUUGCAUUUGCUGAGGAGUGUUUUACUGCCAGUUAUGUGAUCAAUUUUAGAGUAAGUGUCAUGGGGUGUCUUAGAAAAAUGUAUAUUCUGGUUUUUUUUUUUUGGUGUGUGUGUGUGUGUGUGUGUGUGUGUGUGUGGAGAGAGAGAGUUCUGUAGGUAUCUAUUAGGACUACUUGGUCCAGAGCUGAGUUCAAAUUCUGAAUACUUUGUUAAUUUUCUGUGUCAAUUAUCUGUCUACUAUUGACAGUGGGUUGUUAAAGUCUCCCACUAUUAUUGUGUGGGAGUCUAAGUCUCUUUGUAUGUCUCGAAGAACUUCUUGUAUGAAUCUGGGUGCUCCUGUAUUGAGUGCAUAUAUAUUUAGGAUAGUUAGCUCUUCUUCUUGAAUUGAAGCUUUUACCAUUAUGUAAUGCACUUCUUUGUCCUUUUUGAUCUUUGUUGGUUUAAAGUCUGUUUUGUCAGAAACUAAGGGAUAUAAUUUGGCUGUGUCCCCACCCAAACAUCAUCUUGA